ensembl:lncRNA
GUUGAGGCUCCCGUGGAAGCGGAGAGCCGGAGUGCAGCAUGGGGAGACGGAGCACCGGGAUCAGCAGUACAACUUUCCCUGGCCCCACCGCCACCACCUCCUCCCACUUCUUUUCUGCUCCUUCUCCUCCUGGAUCCGAAGAAUGUGACUUCUGCACCUUGGUCAUGGUGACAUCCGGGACUGUGUCUGUGAAGAAGAAGAAGAAGAAAAGACAACAACAAGGCGGCGAGGGCUGCAGCUAAUGGAGAGGCUGUAAUUGUGAAUGGAGGCAUUCAUCUGGAGACGUCGUCCGUGAAUUGCGCCGCACAAUACCCAGCGCUGGGCUGUUCAGAUCACCAACCAGUCACCAAAUACACACUGACACACACACACACUCAGAAACCUCAGAUCACUGGUGCUCAGAGGAGGGACGUAAUCACACCUCUACAGAGAGCAAGACACCAAGGAGGGGAGGAGAGAAGGAGGAGAGGAGCUGGAGGGGAGGAUGGGAAGAAGAGAGGAGAAAUUAUACAAGGAGAGAGCAGGCAGAAGAGGAGGAGGAGGAGGAAACGGAAUGGUGAAAUUGAUGUUUCCUACCAUUUGAUUUGGGCCAUGGAGCCCAGAAGGCAGAUCAGAUAGAGCUACAUACACACACACACAUACCACUCAUGCAAGCACAUACGGUGGACAUGAAACAAACACACAAACAUUCACGCACACCCAUACAAAGCAAGUCAGCUUGCAUACACACACACACAUGAGACACACAAAUUAGAUACAAACGUUUUAUUUUUAUUGUGUAUACGACGCACAAAC